rnacentral:rRNA from 1 species
GUGGGGAAUAUUGGACAAUGGGCGAAAGCCUGAUCCAGCCAUGCCGCGUGUGUGAAGAAGGUCUUCGGAUUGUAAAGCACUUUAAGUUGGGAGGAAGGGCAGUAAGUUAAUACCUUGCUGUUUUUACGUUACCGACAGAAUAAGCACCGGCUAACUUCGUGCCAGCAGCCGCGGUAAUACGAAGGGUGCAAGCGUUAAUCGGAAUUACUGGGCGUAAAGCGCGCGUAGGUGGUUUUGUAAGUUGGAGGUGAAAUCCCCGGGCUCAACCUGGGAACUGCCUCCAAAACUGCAUGACUAGAGGACGGUAGAGGGUAGUGGAAUUUCCUGUGUAGCGGUGAAAUGCGUAGAUAUAGGAAGGAACACCAGUGGCGAAGGCGACUACCUGGACUGAUACUGACACUGAGGUGCGAAAGCGUGGGGAGCAAACAGGAUUAGAUACCCCUGUAGUCC